UACGAAGGGGGCUAGCGUUGCCUCGGAAUUACUGGGCGUAAAGGGCGCGUAGGCGGCACUGUUAGUCAGGCGUGAAAGUCCUGGGCUCAACCUGGGAACUGCGCUUGAUACGGCAGAGCUAGAGGAUGGAAGAGGCUCGCGGAAUUCCCAGUGUAGAGGUGAAAUUCGUAGAUAUUGGGAAGAACACUUGAGGCGAAGGCGGGUUGCUGGGCUGAUACUGACGCUGAGGCGCGAAAGCCAGGGGUAGCAAACGGG
rnacentral:rRNA from 1 species